rnacentral:lncRNA from 1 species
GAGGCUAAUAAGAGUGACUGCUUGUUGGACUAACAUAACCAAGAGUAAGUUUCCAGGACAACUUGUGUUAUUUCAUUCACAUGAAAAAAUAAAGUUAAACAAGACCAUUCAGUAAACAAUGAUUUUUCUUAAGGAUCUAUCUAAGAUGCAUCACACAUUUUACUGAGAUAGAUCAAAGUGAACUUGGGAAUCCCCUCUCUUCAGAAUACUACCUUGUGGCAGUCAGUGUGUUUCAACUGACCAGCCAUUUUGAGGGAUGUGUAAUUUUUUUUUAAAAUAGAAUAUAUACUUUCUCAUAACAUAUGAUCACAAUAUUGCAAUUUACUGUAUGUGAGGUUCAAAACACAUAAGACUUAAAAUUUCCAGGUUUGGCAAAUUGAGAAUCCAUGUAGAGAAGAAUGCUCAGGCUUUGUAACUCUUGCUUAAAUAUUUUGUAAUGUAAGAUAUUUAUGAAAAUUUGAAACAUACCCUUUUUUUGGGAAAGAAAAAUAAGAUCUGUCAGAAGCCACAGUUGAUCUUCACUUCUAGAAUCAUCAGUGGUGCUUAUUAAUGAUUUGAAUAAUUUUACUUUUAAAAAACUGUAGUCUCAUAGAAUGUCGUAAUAAAAAACUGUUAAAUGUAUAUUUUGUUUGUAUUGUAAUAAAAAACAAGCAUCAGUGUUCUACUAUAUAAACUGUGUUGGUAUGUGUAAACGUUUUCUUUUUUAUAACUCCAAAUAUGGCAAGCAGAUUUUAUAUAGCAAAUUGAACUAAAUAAAAUAAGAUAUUCUG